UUUCUUUUGUAGUUCAUAAGUGUGAUGAUUGGGUCUUCAUACCAUCAUGUGACAUGUGCCUCCCUCAAACCUUGUUAAGACCCUGGCACAUUACCUGUCUGAUG